AGUGAACGCUGGCGGUAGGCCUAACACAUGCAAGUCGAACGGCGGCACAGUAAGAGCUUGCUCUUACGGGUGGCGAGUGGCGGACGGGUGAGGAAUACAUCGGAAUCUACUUUUUCGUGGGGGAUAACGUAGGGUAACUUACGCUAAUACCGCAUACGACCUACGGGUGAAAGCAGGGGAUCUUCGGACCUUGCGCGAUUGAAUGAGCCGAUGUCGGAUUAGCUAGUUGGCGGGGUAAAGGCCCACCAAGGCGACGAUCCGUAGCUGGUCUGAGAGGAUGAUCAGCCACACUGGAACUGAGACACGGUCCAGACUCCUACGGGAGGCAGCAGUGGGGAAUAUUGGACAAUGGGCGCAAGCCUGAUCCAGCCAUACCGCGUGGGUGAAGAAGGCCUUCGGGUUGUAAAGCCCUUUUGUUGGGAAAGAAAAGCAGCAGGUUAAUACCCCGCUGUUCUGACGGUACCCAAAGAAUAAGCACCGGCUAACUUCGUG
rnacentral:rRNA from 1 species